UUAUUGGUUUUAUUAAUAUUAUUAAUUUAGAUUUAAAGUUUGAUUUAUUAAGUAGAAUUUUUAAAUUAAUAUAAAUCUGUGAUUAGUUUUUAAAAUUAAGAAAUUCAAAUUUUAGACUAGGAUUAGAUACCCUAUUAUUUUGAGUGUUAAAAUUAGAAUGCUUUAUUAGUAGUAGUUAUGUUCUUGAAAAUAAAUAGAUUUGGCGGUUCUUUAGUCCAUUCAGAGGAACCUGUCCUAUAAUUGAUAUACCACGAUUUAAUGUACUUAUUUUAAUUAGUUUAUAUAUCGCCGUUUUAGAAUUUUUUGAAAGAAUUUUAAUAUUUAAGAUUUUAUUUGUAAAAGUAGUUCAGGUCAAGAUGUAGUUUAUAGGUAAGGAGAGAUGGGUUACUUUAAUUUUAUUUAUUGAGCUGUUAUUUUAAAAAUAAUAGUAAAUUGGAUUUGAGGGUAAUAUUAAUUAGUUUAUUAAGAUGAUUUAGGCUCUAGAGUAUGUACAUAUCGCCCGUCACUUUCACUCUAAAGUGGAAUAAGUCGUAACAUAGUAGGUGUACUGGAAAGUGUACCUGGAAUGG
rnacentral:rRNA from 1 species